ensembl:lncRNA
CAAUGGGAUGGUUUUAGAAAACAAACAAACAGAAGAUCAACUGGAGAUAAAAAAACAAAAUCAACUCAUGGUGAUAAUUGCUGUGUCAGUUGGUGCCCUUCUCUUAUCAGUGAUGCUGAUAACCAUCUGUAAAGUGAAGAGAUGCCCAGCAAAGCAGACACGGAACUCAGCCUGCAGGAUAAAGAUGGAGGCAAUUGAACCUGUGGAGACUCCUAACUCAUAACUGAGAGGAGAAUGUUGUUCUGUGUUCAUUCACAGGCGUAGUGGAGAAGUUAUUGAUUAGACACUGUGGAGAGAAUGUAUUCAUUUAGAGAAACCCAAAUGUGUACUGUACAUGUUUCUUCUACCUAGUUGGUGUGCUGAAGAGUGGAUUUGAAGAAAGAUAAUGAAUCACCGCUGUUUCAAAAUAAGGAAGUAAAACGAUACACUUGUGUUGCUGCACACUUUUGUCAGAGAAGCGGGAGGAGGGGUAGGUAAUGUUGAAACUACUCACUGUGACCUUUUUGUAAAAAAUAUAGACUGCAUGUAAAGUGAACAUUCAGUUGCAGCUGAGUAUGUCUUGCAUAGAAAGAAGUGUGGACAAUAUUAUUUGGGGUGCUUGUUUUUGGGCUCUGUUUGGGGUCAUUUCAAUGUUUUUUUAAUUUGCUUCCACUCAAUACUUUUUCUAGAUCCCCAAAUGUUCUCUGUUGUGUUCCCUCAAGUUACUGCAAGGCAAAAAUGAUAAACAAUAUCUGAACAGAAAUGAUGAAAUAUCUUACCAUGAGACACUUCUGCAACCAUUGCAAAUCCAAACAGCUCAAGUGUCUCUUGACACCAUCAUUUAAUAAAUGAGCCCCCUUGCUGGAAGAUUUUACUUCAGCGAUCUGAUGCAGCAAUGCAAAUAAAUGAAACGUUGUUAUAGAAGCUACCGAUGCAUCUCUCAUCCAUUUUGUUUCUGUAAAAAAAACUCAGAAGGAAAUUAGCUAAUUGUCUUUUUUCAGAAAAAAGGAAGAAAAGCCCUUAGUCAUUCUCCCCAUAGUCAUUGUAUCAUUUAAAAUCCAGUUUUUACAACAAAAGAAAAAUAAAUCAAAAAAGGUUUUGCAGUUCAAAUACUUACAUAGUUAAUUGUAUUUAUAGAAUUUGUCAUCUCAAUUAUUAUAUUUUUCACAGUCUCUAAUCACAGUCUGUAGGAAAAGACAACACAUCACAGCCAGUUCUGACUUGUUUUGACACUGUUGCUAUUUUCAACACUAACUAAAUACGCAUUUACAAAAGAAAUGCAGGGACAUUUGAUGGCUGAUUUAUUUUUGUUUUAGUAUUUAUUUUUUGGCUGAUUAUCCAAAUUUCAUCUUUAAAUAACUGGACUCAUUGAACAAAAGCUGGUGACGGUUUAGAUCUCUGGAAAUGAUCUACCAUUAAUGUAAUUUGAUGAGUUCACAGUUAGAUCAUGCAUGCACAGCUAAACUCCUGUCAAUGCUCAAAAUGCAAAUACGAUGUAAUGAUCUAAGGCGGAAAUCAGGCGAAUGUGUGUUCUGGAGAUGAGCUCAUAUGAACGUCCCUGAUAAUAAUAAAUACAAGUGGGUUCAAUUACAUGACUCAAAUUAUUUACACACAUUUGUCUUCUUUCUUAUAGCAGCAAUACAAUAAUUUUCUAUUUGUUCACCCUGAAUAACAGACUGUGCAUCCAAUCAGCAAUGAUUGUCUUGUACCCACCCUUUCUUUUUUGACUAAUGUUGUUGUUUCAUAUUAGGGGGAGUGCAUUCAUAUUCGGGGAAGGGGUAUUGUAUUGAAUUGGGAAUAUGUCAUCGUAUUAGUGGUUAUGUUUUCAUAUUGGGGGCGUGCGUUCAUAUUUGGGGAAGAGGUAUUGAAUUGAAUUGGGAGUGUGUCGUCUUGUUAGUGGUUAUGUUGUGCAUUAUUAUUUAAGUGGUGGUUUUAGUGAUUUGGGGGCCCCUAGGCAGAGACUGGUUGAGGCCCCAACAUCAUCUAUUUGUUACCUACUGUCCUUAUAAAAGCCAUACUGGCAACAUUUUGAACAUACCUUCUUUCUUUAUUGUUGAAUGGGACUGCCAAAAGACACUUCCAAAGACACUUUGGAAUCACUUCCCCUUUUGGUAUAUCAAUUAGUUUAAAAAUAACAUUAUUAUAAUUAUCUGCAGGGUUCAUACUGCCUUAUAAUUGGUUACGACUACAGUGAAGCACAAAGCACUUAGCCAUUUUGUUCAAGUGUAGUUUCUUAAUCAUGAUCAAUA